rnacentral:misc_RNA from 1 species
UGGGCUUUGAAAAAAAAAUUAAAGUGCAGAGAGGGCCAAUAUAAAAGAGACGAAGGAAUCUAUUGCUCAGAUCCAAAUACGGGGUAAGGUUUCUUGAAAAAUUUAUAGUCUCCAAGCCUUAUAGGAAGGACUUAUGGCCUUGCACAAUUAAACCAGCUAUUAGGAUGUGGCCCAAAAGGACGACUCGCUUCACCACACCUGGCACAAACUGAGGAAAACCCCUAGCCGCUGUCUAUAUACGCCAUAUCAAAUCAGGGAAGAUGAC